GACGAACGCUGGCGGCGUGCUUUACACAUGCAAGUCGAACGGGAAGGCCCUGCUUUUGUGGGGGGCUCGAGUGGCGAACGGGUGAAUAACACGUGAGUAACCUGCCCUUGACUUUGGGAUAACUUCAGGAAACUGGGGCUAAUACCGGAAAGGGGCGCCUGCGGCAUGGGGGGGGUUGGAAAGUUUCGGCGGUUGGGGAUGGACUCGCGGCUUAUCAGCUUGUUGGUGGGGUAGUGGCUUACCAAGGCUUUGACGGGUAGCCGGCCUGAGAGGGUGACCGGCCACAUUGGGACUGAGAUACGGCCCAGACUCCUACGGGAGGCAGCAGUGGGGAAUAUUGCACAAUGGGCGGAAGCCUGAUGCAGCAACGCCGCGUGCGGGAUGACGGCCUUCGGGUUGUAAACCGCUUUCGCCUGUGACGAAGCGUGAGUGACGGUAAUGGGUAAAGAAGCACCGGCUAACUACGUG
rnacentral:rRNA from 1 species